AUACGGAGGGUGCAAGCGUUGUUCGGAAUUACUGGGCGUAAAGCGCGCGUAGGCGGUCUGUUAUGUCAGAUGUGAAAGUCCUGGGCUCAACCGGGGAAGUGCAUUUGAAACUGGCAGACUCGAGUACUGGAGGGGGUGGUGGAAUUCCCGGUGUAGAGGUGAAAUUCGUAGAUAUCGGGAGGAAUACCGGUGGCGAAGGCGACCACCUGGCCAGAUACUGACGCUGAGGUGCGAAAGCGUGGGGAGCAAACAGGAUUAGAAACCCCAGUAGUCC
rnacentral:rRNA from 1 species